UACGUAGGGGGCUAGCGUUGCUCGGAAUCACUGGGCGUAAAGGGUGCGUAGGCGGUUCUUUAAGUCAGGGGUGAAAUCCUGGAGCUCAACUCCAGAACUGCCUUUGAUACUGAGGAUCUUGAGUUCGGGAGAGGUGAGUGGAAUUCCGAGUGUAGAGGUGAAAUUCGUAGAUAUUCGGAAGAACACCAGUGGCGAAGGCGGCUCACUGGACCGGUAUUGACGCUGAGGUGCGAAAGCGUGGGGAGCAAACAGG
rnacentral:rRNA from 1 species